UUGGAGGGCAAGUCUGGUGCCAGCAGCCGCGGUAAUUCCAGCUCCAAUAGCGUAUAUUAAAGUUGUUGCAGUUAAAAAGCUCGUAGUUGAACCUUGGGUCUGGCUGGCCGGUCCGCCUCACCGCGAGUACUGGUCCGGCCGGGCCUUUCCCUCUGCGGAACCCCAUGCCCUUCACUGGGUGUGGCGGGGAAACAGGACUUUUACUUUGAAAAAAUUAGAGUGCUCAAGGCAGGCCUAUGCUCGAAUACAUUAGCAUGGAAUAAUAGAAUAGGA
rnacentral:rRNA from 1 species